UCAAAAUGAUUUGUGUAUUAUUCGCAUGUAUUUAUGUAUUUAAUGUAUUAAUUCAUAUAUUUUAUGAUGACUUGUCAAUAAAAUAGCAACAUUGCGAGAAUGACACAAUGAUGAUUGUGCGGGGAUAAAAGGGAAUACUAUAAAGGGGCUGAGUGCGGAAGGCUUAAAGAGAGUCUGUCUCUGAAUAUUCAUUGAGCUGGUCGAAUCGUGCUUUCGACAUCGAUACGCCAAGUUCGUAAUCAUCAUUGUGAAAUUCUUAAUUGUUAAUUUAUGAACUAAACAUUUGAGUUCGUGUUAUUUUAUUAUAAUCUGAUAUUGUCAAAAGUUAUUAUUAAAACAAGAAAAAUCUUCAGGAAGUUGUGUAAAAGAAAGAAUAAAAAAAAUGUAGCUGAUAUCAAGACAAUAAAUGAAAACGUUGCUGCGAAUGGAGACUCGUCAUUUUCUCGUAUAAUUGUAAGCACAGUGUUAGAUACACAUUAAUGUGAGGUGACGCAAUAUAUUUAAUUUAAUAUGAAAACACGGUAAGUGAGGGAGAGCAGGUCAGUCGAUCACAUCAUACACGUUUGUGUUUGUCACAACGGUUAUGCCGCUGACACAACGCAAUUUGUUUUCAUCUUUUUCUGUAGCCGUCUAGUAUUCCGGAGAUUCCGCGUUUUUUAUAUAAUAUACGCCCCGACCUUCAAUGUUUUUUCCUACUAAAAAACCACGACCUUCGUAACGGUACGGCGGCGCUGCUGUUUAGACCGGUCCCUGUGUGUGUGGUAGUGGUCGUGAAACAUUAAUUCGUGCUCUCUCUUUUGGUCGUUUCGGUCAUAUCGAUGCCAAGUAAUUGGGUCGUGAAUUACCUUGUCACCAUAGUCGUUGAAUUGAGCUGCUUAUCGUUUUUGCUGUAUGUGACGGUGUUCUUUGCCCUUUCUGUAUCCGGACUUCACAUUAUUCAUCAGUUCCAAACAGCAGUGGGUAAUUAAUAAUAAUUUUAGCUUCGAUGCGAAGCUGAGAAAGUAUUGGUUUUACAAAGAUGUUUUUUUUUUUUUUUGUGUCUGUUACCACUUUUUCUCAGCUCUCACCGAACCGAUUUCUUUCAAUGAUACGUCAAAAGAUCACAAAACGUAUCUAGUCGAAGACAUUACCCUUAAAAAUUGAAAAAAAUUCCCUCGUUCCCCGUAAAUGGGGGAAACCUCCAAAAAAAUUACAAAUUUAAAAAUCGCUAAUUUUCGAAAUUUUUUCAAUUUUUUUUACUUAAAAUUGCCAUAACUUUUUUAAAAAAAACUAAAUCAAUAUACCUUUUUUUUUAUAGAUGCAUGAGGU